rnacentral:rRNA from 1 species
GACGAACGCUGGCGGCGUGCCUAAUACAUGCAAGUAGAACGCUGAAGGAGGAGCUUGCUUCUCUGGAUGAGUUGCGAACGGGUGAGUAACGCGUAGGUAACCUGCCUGGUAGCGGGGGAUAACUAUUGGAAACGAUAGCUAAUACCGCAUAAUAUUGACUAUUGCAUGAUAGUCAGUUGAAAGGUGCAACUGCACCACUACCAGAUGGACCUGCGUUGUAUUAGCUAGUUGGUGGGGUAACGGCUCACCAAGGCGACGAUACAUAGCCGACCUGAGAGGGUGAUCAGCCACACUGGGACUGAGACACGGCCCAGACUCCUACGGGAGGCAGCAGUAGGGAAUCUUCGGCAAUGGACGGAAGUCUGACCGAGCAACGCCGCGUGAGUGAAGAAGGUUUUCGGAUCGUAAAGCUCUGUUGUAAGAGAAGAACGAGUGUGAGAGUGGAAAGCUCACACUGUGACGGUAUCUGACCAGAAAGGGACGGCUAACUACGUG